UUAUGAUGUUAUGGAUCUUUUUCUGUGUUUAUUGGGGUUUUAAAAGUUGCAUGAUAGUUUUUUUUUUUUUUAAUUACGAGGGAUUGAAACUCAUACAAUAUUGUAAUCUGUUCAUUACUUUUUAUCCUUUAAAUAGAGGUGUGCGGAUAUUUAUCAUAUUCUAUAUAAAGUGGUAUAAAAUUAUAGUAGUAACACUCUCUUUUAGAUAAUAAAUUAUAUCUU
rnacentral:lncRNA from 1 species